CCCCCGCCCCCCCCCCCGCCCCGCCUGCGCCCGUUGACAGCCGUUGCUCUCUCCCCUCGCGGCCUUUUCUCGGCGCUGCCCGGCGCUCUCCGGCCCCCGGGAGCUCUUCGUGGCCCGCUCUCACUCCCCAAGGGAGGGCCCGGGGUCUGGGCUGUCAGCCCCGGUACGGAGACGGGCCACUCCAGGGCCCUCGGGACAUCCGCCGUCCUCAGGGAGCUGCUCUCCCGGGCAGCUCUCCGCCUCCCCUUGGGCCACCCUUAGCACUUAGCCAGGGGUGACUGACUGCGGUGAAACCGUUUCUCCACGGUUGUCUCAUUUUUUAAUUUAUUUUUUUUUAACGAAGAUACUGCACGUACACACCUCAUGAAAUGUUUCCCACUUGCACAGAGGCGUCGAUUCUUGACCUUUCCUCCCCACCACCAGCAAAGUGCGAGGAGAGGGAAAGCUGAGGUCAGGAGUCUUAAAUGACAAGCUUUUGACCAGUGAUCCUACUUUCAAACUCUCAGCUGCACAUCUGUUCCUGUGUUUGGCAGCUACUUACGUUUGAAGCAGCUUGGGCCUGAUGAGGAAGAGGACCUUCUUGAAAGAAAAUCAGCAGAUGAAACCUGGAUACUUCGUCCUUCCCCAUGAGACCUGGAGGGCUCUUGCAUUCGUAAAUUGUUGUUACGAGCAAGGAAAAAAAAUCAUAAAACUGACACCAAAACAGAGAGAAAAGUGAAAAAAUCAGUGGAGAAUGGAUAAGCUGAGAAAUGUGAUUUUUCAGCUAGGAUUAAUGAUGCACCUAUUCAACAGAAGGAUUUGGCCUAAAGUCAGAAAGAUGAGAUAAACAGGAUAACGAUUAAAACACAAAAACAUAUGGUAUCACCAACUGCGUGAAGAUCAACAUCAGAUUAAAUC
rnacentral:lncRNA from 1 species